rnacentral:lncRNA from 1 species
GGGCUCGAUUCACCCAGGCUCACCAGGAAAAUGCAUGAUGACGUGCUCUCUGCGCUCCAGGCCCCACCUAUCAUUCCCACUGGCUGGAGAGGGCAUAGGCCUCUGCACGCAGGCUCCCUGCAGGGCAGUAGGUUGCCUGGUGGCAUCUGCUGGUUGUGCCUGCAGUGCCCAGUGCAGGCGGUAGAGAUGGGCACCUCUGCCUGGCACAUGGCAGGGGCCAGGCCUAUUGGCUCAGCUGGGGAAACCCGUCCAUCUGGAUAGAAGCUGCCAGCAUGUGCGGAGUGGCCACCUGGACAAAAGGGACUGUGGCUUGGGCUGAGGUGAAAGUUCCCUGCACCCCGGGCCUAGCCCAAAUGGCUGUGUCCCCUGGGCAAGCAGCAGAGCCAGAGCUCCAGCCGUCUGGGAGCGCCGUGCAGCCCCUGCCUGGGGGCAAUAUCUGCAGUGUGAUCUGUGAUCGAUGUCUGUGGAGGGCACAAGGCGCCCUGCCAGGCCCUCCACGCCCGCGCCCUGCCCCGCGAGGUGAUGGUGGGGGUGGCCAUGAGCGGCUCCCGAGCCUGCCCAGCCUCCCCCAGCACCAGCAGGAAGCGGUGCUCGCGAGGGGUGGUGGAGGUGACACCGCUGCAGGAAGGAGGCCAGGGUGGGGUGGGGACAGAGGCGGUGAGGGCAGCAUCGUCGUCCUCCCCACUUGGGACCUGCAGUGGUCACCGUCACCCCCAUGA